UACGUAGGUGGCAAGCGCUGUCCGGAUUUACUGGGCGUAAAGAGCGCGCAGGCGGUCGUUUAAGUCGAAUGUGAAAGCCCCCGGCUCAACUGGGGAGGGUCAUUCGAUACUGAUCGACUUGAAGGCAGGAGAGGGAAGUGGAAUUCCGGGUGUAGUGGUGAAAUGCGUAGAUAUCCGGAGGAACACCGGUGGCGAAGGCGACUACCUGGCCUGUUCUUGACGCUGAGGCGCGAAAGCUAGGGGAGCAAACGGG
rnacentral:rRNA from 1 species